rnacentral:rRNA from 1 species
CCAAUAGCGUAUAUUAAAGUUGUUGCAGUUAAAAAGCUCAUAGUUGAAUUUCGGGACUAAUAUGUUGGUCGUGCUUUUGUACGUACUGGCAUUAUUGGUUUCUACCUUCUGAAGAACCGCGAUGUCAUUAAUUUGGUGUCGUGUGGAAUCAGGACUGUUACUUUGAAAAAAUUAGAGUGUUUAAAGCAGGCUCACGCUUGAAUACAUUAGCAUGGAAUAAUGAAAUAGGACGUUUGAUUCUAUUUUGUUGGUUUCUAGGAUCGACAUAAUGAUUAAUAGUGAUAGUUGGGGGCAUUAGUAUUCAAUUGUCAGAGGUGAAAUUCUUGGAUUUAUUGAAGACUAAAUACUGCGAAAGCAUUUGCCAAGGAUGUUUUCAUUAAUCAAGAACGAAAGUUAGGGGAUCGAAGACGAUCAGAUACCGUCGUAGUCUUAACCAUAAAUUAUGCCGACUAGGGAUCGGAUGAUGUUAAUUUUUUAAUGACUCAUUCGGCGCCUUACG